rnacentral:rRNA from 1 species
GGUGUGGUAAAACGCACUGGAGGGCCGAACCCACGUAAGUUAAAAAUUGCGGGGAUGAGUUGUGGGUAGCGGUGAAAUUCCAAACGAACUUGGAGAUAGCUGGUUCUCUCCGAAAUAGCUUUAGGGCUAGCCUCGUGGAGAGGAUAAUGGAGGUAGAGCUCUGUUUGGACUAGGGGCCCGUCAGGGGUUACUGAAUCCAGAUAAACUACGAAUUCCAGAUAUCCAUACACGGGAGUCAGACUGCGAGUGAUAAGAUCCGUAGUCGAAAGGGAAACAGCCCAGAUCACCAGUUAAGGUCCCCAAAUCUAUGCUAAGUGGAAAAGGAUGUGGAGUUGCGUAGACAACUAGGACGUUGGCUCAGAAGCAGCCAUCAUUCAAAGAGUGCGUAAUAGCUCACUAGUCGAGUGGCGCUGCGCCGAAAAUUUACCGGGGCUAAGCAUAGUACCGAAACUGUGGAUGUGUUUUAAAGAGCACGUGGUAGGAGAGCGUUCUAAGUGCGGCGAAGGUGAACCGAGAGGAUCAUUGGAGCGCUUAGAAGUGAGAAUGCCGGUAUGAGUAGCGAAAGAUAGGUGAGAAUCCUAUCCGCCGAAAGACUAAGGUUUCCUGGGGCAGGCUCGUCCGCCCAGGGUAAGUCGGGACCUAAGGCAAGGCCGAGAGGCGUAGUCGAUGGACAACAGGUAGAAAUUCCUGUACUGUGUUCAAUCGUUAUGAGCGAUGGAGGGACGCAGGAGGUGAAGCACGCAUCGAGCUGGAUCGAUGUUCAAGCGACAAGUGCGGUUAAGAGUCAAAUGCUUCUAACCAGCAACACGAGUCGUGAUGAGGAGUGAAUUAAAAGUAGCGAAGGUGUGGUAGUCACACUGCCAAGAAAAGCUUCUAGCCAGAGAGAACAUACCCGUACCGCAAACCGACACAGGUAGUCGAGUGGAGAACACUAAGGUGAGCGAGAGAACUCUCGUUAAGGAA